rnacentral:lncRNA from 1 species
UUGCUCAUAUAUAUAGUAUAAAACAAAGUAUACAGACUACACUUGGUCCAACAAGAUGAGUCGUGAGUUACAUUUAUUUUGACUGAUUUGUGCAGCUAAUCGAUCUCAUGCAUGUUUUCUCCUCAAAUCUAAGAUAUCCACAGGCGAUCUUGAAACCCCAUAUCAACGCCUCCUUGACCCAAGUUAGUUAAUGCAUGUCAUCUUAUCUCAUUAACGUGUUUAUAUAAUUAACUUGCAAAGUAAAAG